rnacentral:rRNA from 1 species
AUACGGGGGGAGCAAGCGUUGUCCGGAAUCAUUGGGCGUAAAGGGCACGUAGGCGGUUUCUUAAGUCGAAUGUGAAAUCUCACGGCUCAACCGUGAAACUGCGUUCGAAACUAAGUGACUUGAGUUUGGGAGAGGUGUACGGAAUUCCUGGCGUAGCGGUGGAAUGCGUAGAUAUCAGGAAGAACACCAAUGGCGAAGGCAGUACACUGGCCUGAAACUGACGCUGAGGUGCGAAAGCGUGGGGAGCAAACAGGAUUAGAUACCCCAGUAGUCC